UACAGAGGGUGCAAACGUUGCUCGGAAUUAUUGGGCGUAAAGCGCGUGUAGGCGGCCUGUUAAGUUAGGUGUGAAAUCCCACAGCUCAACUGUGGAAGUGCAACUAAAACUGGCAGGCUUGAGUCCUGAAGAGAAUGGCGGAAUUCCCAGUGUAGAGGUGAAAUUCGUAGAUAUUGGGAGGAACAUCGGUGGCGAAGGCGGCCAUUUGGGAAGGUACUGACGCUGAGACGCGAAAGCGUGGGGAUCAAAC
rnacentral:rRNA from 1 species